rnacentral:rRNA from 1 species
UGCAAGUCGACGAUGACUCCAGCUUGCUGGGGGGAUUAGUGGCGAACGGGUGAGUAACACGUGAGUAACCUGCCCUUAACUCUGGGAUAAGCCUGGGAAACUGGGUCUAAUACUGGAUAUUGACUUUUCCUCGCAUGGGGUUUGGUUGAAAGCUUUAGUGGUUUUGGAUGGACUCGCGGCCUAUCAGCUUGUUGGUGAGGUAAUGGCUCACCAAGGCGACGACGGGUAGCCGGCCUGAGAGGGUGACCGGCCACACUGGGACUGAGACACGGCCCAGACUCCUACGGGAGNGCAGCAGUNGCGGGAAUAUUGCACAAUGGGCGAAAGCCUGAUGCAGCGACGCCGCGUGAGGGAUGACGGCCUUCGGGUUGUAAACCUCUUUCAGUAGGGAACAAGGCCACACGUUGUGUGGUUGAGGGUACUUGCAGAAGAAGCACCGGCUAACUACGUGCCAGCAGCCGCGGUAAUACGUAGGGUGCAAGCGUUAUCCGGAAUUAUUGGGCGUAAAGAGCUCGUAGGCGGUUUGUCGCGUCUGCCGUGAAAGUCCGGGGCUCAACCCCGGAUCUGCGGUGGGUACGGGCAGACUAGAGUGAUGUAGGGGAGACUGGAAUUUCCUGGUGUAGCGGUGAAAUGCGCAGAUAUCAGGAGGAACACCGAUGGCGAAGGCAGGUCUCUGGGCAUUAACUGACGCUGAGGAGCGAAAGCAUGGGGAGCGAACAGGAUUAGAUACCCUGGUAGUCCAUGCCGUAAACGUUGGGCACUAGGUGUGGGGGACAUUCCACGUUUUCCGCGCCGUAGCUAACGCAUUAAGUGCCCCGCCUGGGGAGUACGGCCGCAAGGCUAAACUCAAGGAAUUGACGGGGGCCCGCACAAGCGGCGGAGCAUGCGGAUUAAUUCGAUGCAACGCGAAGAACCUUACCAAGGCUUGACAUAAACUGGAAACGCUUGGAAAACAAGUGCCCCGCUUGCGGUCGGUUUACAGGUGGUGCAUGGUUGUCGUCAGCU